AUUGAACGCUGGCGGCACGCUUAACACAUGCUAGUCGAGCGGCAGCACGGUUCUGGGCAACCAGGAUGGGUGGCGAGCGGCGAACGGGUGCGUAAAGCACAGGAAUCUACCCUAGAGCGGGGGAUAACCCGGGGAAACUCGGGCUAAUACCGCAUAAUGUUUACGAACCAAAGCGGAGGACCUUCGGGCUUCGCACUUUGGGAUGAGCCUGUGUCCGAUUAGCUAGUUGGUGGGGUAAAGGCCUACCAAGGCGAUGAUCGGUAGCUGGUCUGAGAGGACGGACAGCCACACUGGGACUGAGACACGGGCCAGACUCCUACGGGAGGCAGCAGUGGGGAAUAUUGGACAAUGGGGGCAACCCUGAUCCAGCGAUGCCGCGUGUGUGAAGAAGGCCUGCGGGUUGUAAAGCACUUUGAGUGGGGAAGAUUGGUGAUUUGCUAAUAGCGGACUCACUUGACGUUACCCACAGAACAAGCACCGGCUAACUCUGUGCCAGCAGCCGCCGUAAGAC
rnacentral:rRNA from 1 species